rnacentral:rRNA from 1 species
CCUACGGGAGGCAGCAGUGGGGAAUAUUGGGCAAUGGGCGCAAGCCUGACCCAGCAACGCCGCGUGAAGGAAGAAGGCUUUCGGGUUGUAAACUUCUUUUGUCAGGGACGAAACAAAUGACGGUACCUGACGAAUAAGCCACGGCUAACUACGUGCCAGCAGCCGCGGUAAUACGUAGGUGGCAAGCGUUAUCCGGAUUUACUGGGUGUAAAGGGCGUGUAGGCGGGAGUGCAAGUCAGAUGUGAAAAUUAUGGGCUCAACCCAUAACCUGCAUUUGAAACUGUACUUCUUGAGUACUGGAGAGGCAGGCGGAAUUCCGUGUGUAGCGGUGAAAUGCGUAGAUAUACGGAGGAACACCAGUGGCGAAGGCGGCCUGCUGGACAGCAACUGACGCUGAGGCGCGAAAGCGUGGGGAGCAAACAGGAUUAGAUACCCGGGUAGUC